rnacentral:rRNA from 1 species
UACGGAGGGUGCAAGCGUUAUCCGGAUUUACUGGGCGUAAAGGGCGCGUAGGCGGCGUGUCAAGUCAGGCGUGAAAGCCCCGGGCUCAACCUGGGAACCGCGCUUGAGACUGGCAUGCUCGAGUUCGGGAGAGGAUGGUGGAAUUCCCAGUGUAGAGGUGAAAUUCGUAGAUAUUAGGAAGAACACCGGUGGCGAAGGCGGCCCACUGGUCCGGUACUGACACUGAGGUGCGAAAGCGUGGGGAGCAAACAGG